rnacentral:tRNA from 3 species
GGGGAUAUAGCUCAGCUGGGAGAGCGCUUGAAUGGCAUUCAAGAGGUCAGCGGUUCGAUCCCGCUUAUCUCCACCA